UGACGGUCAGACGUGGACCACAUCAAGUCACUAUUCAAGAGAGUGUAUGUAACAAAAAUGGAAUUCAAUGGCAACAAAAUAUCUGGAUAAGCAUAAGGCGUAGCAUACAGGGACACAAUCCUCCCACACUUCAGAGGAAUGUGCUGGCAGGCACCGACAAUAAGCUUCAGGAACUGUGGUCAGCUUGUCUCUUUCUCGGAUGGAGCCGUCAUGAAAUAUUCAAAGUAACCCGUUAAGUCAAUAUUAACCAUUAUCUUAACCAUUGGGCAGCCGUGGCCCAAUGGUUAAGAUCAUCGCCUGCCACCGUCGGGGACCUAGGUCCAAGACCCCGACUGGACCAUCCACCGACAUCCCCUGGGUUCACGGUUUUGGUGUCCUUGAGCAAGACACUGAUACCCCGAAAUGCUCCCCGGGUGC